GAAGUCAGCUAUGUACCGUCAAGGCAACAAACAGCUAAAGUUCUCACUAAGGCUUUGUCUGAGCUCCUAGAGUACUUCAAGUCCAAGCUUAUCCUUGUGAAUAUCUACACCAAACUUGAGGGAGAGUGUAGAAAAUCCUACGGAUUAACUAAGUUCCCUAUUUAAUUCUAUUAUGUAUUAUUAGGUAAUUACCCCUAAUAAGAUUCCUAGAAUAGAUAAAUCUCAUAUGGAGACUUAUAUAUAUAACCCUAUUGUCUACGGGCCUUCUUCUAAUAAUAAAAGUAGAACAUCAUUCUCUCAAAUCUACAGUAACUUACCCCUUGCAGUGCCUUGAUUCAAAGUGUUCC
rnacentral:lncRNA from 1 species